CCUACGGGAGGCAGCAGUGGGGGAUAUUGCACAAUGGGGGAAACCCUGAUGCAGCGACGCCGCGUGGGUGAAGAAGUAUUUCGGUAUGUAAAGCUCUAUCAGCAGGGAAGAAAAUGACGGUACCUGACCAAGAAGCCCCGGCUAACUACGUGCCAGCAGCCGCGGUAAUACGUAGGGGGCAAGCGUUAUCCGGAUUUACUGGGUGUAAAGGGAGCGUAGACGGGACUGCAAGUCUGGAGUGAAAGCCCGGGGCCCAACCCCGGGACUGCUUUGGAAACUGUGUAGCUGGAGUGCAGGAGGGGCAAGCGGAAUUCCUGGUGUAGCGGUGAAAUGCGUAGAUAUCAGGAGGAACACCGGCGGCGAAGGCGGCCUGCUGGACUGAAACUGACGUUGAGGCUCGAAGGCGUGGGGAGCAAACAGGAUUAGAUACCCGGGUAGUC
rnacentral:rRNA from 1 species